UACGUAGGGUGCGAGCGUUGUCCGGAAUUAUUGGGCGUAAAGAGCUUGUAGGCGGUUUGUCGCGUCUGCUGUGAAAGCCCGGGGCUUAACUCCGGGUCUGCAGUGGGUACGGGCAGACUAGAGUAUGGUAGGGGAGACUGGAAUUCCUGGUGUAGCGGUGGAAUGCGCAGAUAUCAGGAGGAACACCGAUGGCGAAGGCAGGUCUCUGGGCCAUAACUGACGCUGAGAAGCGAAAGCAUGGGUAGCGAACAGG
rnacentral:rRNA from 1 species